AUUAUCAUCAUUAUCAUUAUCAAUAUCCGCCUUCUUAUUUGCAUAUGUUGGACCAAAUCCUUCUGAUGAUGAAUUCCAGCAAUUCAAGAACGGCCAGUGGUUAAAGGUAGUUGAAUUGUGCAGGAAAUCGGGAAAAUAUCUUUGCUCUCGAAGCUAUCUGUCGUGUAUUUGGAAUACCAAAGGGAAGUCGCUAACAAACUGCACAUUUCAGAACACAUGACAGAAAGAGGGAAGGUCGGCAACCACAUCUUGCGAUGACAAACUGCCCCAAGCACUGCAUUAAACAGCCAGGCUUGGAAUAUGAAUUCUCA